UUCUGAAUCUGGGCUCCGUGCGGGCCACUCCCUGCCUGUCCUCCCCCAGGAAGCCUCCUCGGCUGAGGAGCACAGACUUUGGGCUGGCGGACCUGGCCCCGGCGCUUUCUUCAAGGCUGAAGAGCUUCCUUCCACGCUGUGGCCCGCGCCUCUCACGUCUCCCCUGGAGUCAGCUGCCAGACACCCUGACCUCAGCGCUGGACGCCUCGGAGUCUGCUUCCUCCUCCCAGAGGCCUUCUCUGACCCGCAUCUAACUGAGACAGGGUUUUACCAUGUUGCCCAGGCUGGCCUCCAACUCCUGGACUCAAGCAAUCCACCUACCUCGGCCUCUCAAAGUUCUGGGAUUACAGGCGUGAGCCACCGCGCCUGGCCUGUGCUGACCAGAGAGAGGUUCUUCUUUUGACUUACGUCACCAUCUUAAAAAACAGCACUAUUACCCAAAGGACAAAUUAGCAGAGAAGAGGAAUGAGUUGUGCACAUUGGCACUGUGUCAACUUGGAACGAAGGGGAGCACGGAUAUUGUUCACAAUAUACCCCAAACCAAAUCGUCAUUAAAAACAAAAGCCAUGGCCGGGCAUGGUGGCUCACGCCUGUAAUCCCAGCACUUUGGGAGGCCAAGGCAGGCAGAUCACAAGGUCAGGAGAUCGAGACCAUACUGGCUAAAACGGUGAAACCCCGUCUCUACUAAAAAAAAAUACAAAAAAUUAGAUGGGUGUGGUGGCAGGUGCCUGUAGUCCCAGCUACUUGGGAGGCUGAGGCAGGAGAAUGGUGUGAACCCACGAGGUGGAGCUUGCAAUGAGACGAGAUCAAGCCACUGCACUCCAGCCUAGGCCACAGAGUGAGACUCCUUCUCAAAAAAAAGAAAAAAAAAGCACCAAAGGAAAAAAAAGCCAUGUAAUCAGUCAAAUAAGAUGUCAUUACUUUGGGGAUUUAUAUAUAUUUAAUCCUAAGCUAACUAAUGCAGAAACAGAAAAGUGCUGCAUGUUCUAACUGGGUGCUCAUGGACGUAAAGCUGGCAACAACAGAUACUGGGGAUUCCUACAGCAGGGAAGGAGGGAGGGGGAAUGCAUUGAAGCACUAACUAUUGGGUACUUUGCUCAGUACCUGGGUGACAGGAUCUGUACUCCCAAACUUCAGCAUCAUGCCAUAUACCCAUGUAACAAACCUGCACAUGUACCCCCAGAAUCUAAAAUAAAUGUUGAAAUUAUGUAAUAAUAAUCAUUUAAAUGUUAGCCCAUGAGAUGGUGAAAUAUUGUUACCAAGACAACUUUGACAAAGUGGGAGUGCAUUGACCAGAAGCAGAUCAUGCGAUGGUGAGGACAUAGGCUGCCUCCCUUCCAAUUUCAGAAGGAAACACGGGCGUGGGACCAGCUGCACUCAGGCCAGCAGGGUACUUGUCCUUCUUACAACCACACAUAUUGUGAAUUUGUAUAGCAGUUAACAUUGCUGAAGCCCUCUCAGGAAUAUAUGUCAUGGUCCUUUGAACUGAUAGGCGUGGUGUUUAACCAUGUCUGUAGCGCCUAUAAACUUGAUACUUUAACAUCUGCCUCUGUGAUGAUACCCGACGCCUUGUUCUGGACAGCCUGAGUCACCUUGUCUUGGCCUCCCACCUCCCUCAUCACCACCCUCCACAUCAAGAGGAGUCCUUCUCCUGAGGUGUGCUUUUCAAAGGCAAACCACCUAAUCCAGAGUCUGCACCCCCAACCACCUCCCUUAUCUGGCUCUCACACUCUGAACCACCAUCCCCCUGCCCUUAUCACCGUACCAGAUACCAGAUAGCCCCUGGAAUUAUUUAAACUAGCCCAUCCUGAGCUUGUUUGCCCUGCCUCCCAUUGCUUCCCUUGGAAACCAUAAUAAAGGCUCUUGCCCACAGUGACCUCUUCCCCCGCCUUCUCAGCGACCCUGGGGAGUCACCAUGUGGCCCUGUGGUGUGAUGCACGCUCCCUCUCUUGGGAUCUGUGAGUUUAAUGCACAAUCUUUUCAAUGGUAGUUGUCCCCGAUCUGUUGGCUUCACCAUACCUGAAAAAAAUAAUGAAACCUAUCAAAAUACAGGCUAUGAGGCAGAGGAUCUGAUGCCUGCAAGAUGAGAGACCCUGACAGUUUUUUCUAGCUCCUAGCCCUAAGCUUCUCCCCUGCAUGAUAUUCCAGUGAGAUAUGGUGUGGAAUGACAGAAAGAAAUCCAGCUUGGGGUGUAUGUAUGUACCUUUGACACUGCAUGGGAGCUCUUUGCCUACCUGUCUUGCUUGGGCAUUUCCAGUCCUUCCUCUGGGCAUUCUCAAUAGCAGUGGAAUUUUUAACUGGGAAAAUGGGGAUUACUUCAUUGGGAAAUGAAGUAAUAUGACAUAUUAUUUCAAAAAAAAAAGCCACAUUACUUCAUUUCCCAAUUAUAAAUAGACCCUUCACCAUGGAUCUGCCAUUUGCAACUUCCAUGACAUUGCAAGUGUUUGAGUUCAAAUUCAUUUUCUGCAAACCACGACCAUGUUUGUUUCACAGCUGUAUUCCCAGGCUUAGCAUAUCUGGCACAGUUAGUGCAGGCUAGAUAUCAGUUAACUGAAUGAAUAA